AAGUCGUAACAAGGUUUCCGUAGGUGAACCUGCGGAAGGAUCAUUAACAAACGCAGAGCUUUAAUGCUCGCAACCUUUGUGAAUUGGCUCUCUUUUUUUUUUUCAAGAGAAAUCUUGGAAGGGAUGCAAUGCGAUGCAAUGCGAAUCUAGUAGUAGUAGGAGCAUUUGGGUGCGGCUUCGGCAACAGUCAUAUGCGUCUACUGGUCUAGUUAGUAAAGCAAAGUAAAGCGGAGAGUUUGUUGGGUGUUCCAAGUAAAGCAACAGUGUCGAAACCUCUAUCUGAAAAGAUAUAGGGGAAGCCUGUCGCCUUUAAAUUAAAUUAAAAUUGUCUGAAUUAUUAACUAACUGAUACGAAAGUUUCAGUAAACAAAUAAUACAACUUUUAACAAUGGAUCUCUAGGCUCUU
rnacentral:misc_RNA from 1 species